UUUACCAUUUACAGAGGGCUUCAACUCGUCGUUCCGCCUAGGGCCCCUGAUACCCUUGAUCCGCCACUGCGGACGAGGCAACUUCUUCUCCUGUAUCGCCUCGCGCGCGGUUGGUGCCUUCCCUAUCAGCGUUCCCAUCGCACCAAACCGCAAUCUAGAGCCGGGCCGGGCUUCUCCGGUUUCUUCUCCCUUGUUCGGCUGGUGGCAAUCGCGCUUAUCGCGGUUCGAGCGUUUUCGGUUUGCUCGCGCUUGUUUGACUGAUAAGGCGAGCAGAAAGCGAGAAAAAUGGAAAAUAAAACGCCAAGAAAAAGGCGGGUUUAGCCUUUGGGGGAAGGUUUGUGUGUUGCCACCGUUUUUGCGACAAGGGUUUGAUGAUGGGGAUGGCUCACCCACACAACUCACCCGGGGAACUGCCACCGGAAGGGUACGCUGACCAGCAGGUCAUUGUAACUUCGCGAGAGGACUCCGUUGGGACGAUGAUUAAAACAAGCAGAUUGCUUUCAAUUAUUGCAAACGAAGCGUAGGGAUGGAAUGGGCCUCUAUUUGACGUUUAAAUACACUCUCUUCUUGGUGAGGUAAGCGCAAUUAAGAGAUGUUUUUUCUCCCGUCGAAAGCAUAGCAAACGCACGGAGGACGCAAAAAAGCAACGCAUCAAAUGCAUCACAUCCCUGUGCACAACCGAUCGGAGCAAUUUAAAGGGCGUUUAGCUUGUUAAACACCGCGUCCUGGUCGGCACGCGUUUGGCGAUUCUCUCUGUGGCUGGCGGUAAAGCUGGAAGCCAUCUGUCCCCUUGCUGCACCAUUGACAGCAGAGUCUGUCAGGAAGGAAGAAAAAAAAACUAAACUCAAUGUAAAACCUCAACCUGUCAGAAGCGGCUCAUCAUGAUACACGGUACACGGUUAUCUCGAGCACCCGAACCGCCCGGACGAGAACCACAUUUGCGAAAACGGAACGAGUUUGACAGCAAAGAAUUGCCCAUCGUCUAUGAAGCCUUCCGGUUAGGUAGUCCAUGUUUCAUUGCUCCAUGUGCCUUGUACGAGCGGCUGAGGCAAAACAAUCGAUAGAAAGUGAGCGUAAAAUCUUCCUGACAAUGUUUUUUUCCCUCAAUGAUUAAAUGAUUAAGAACAGUGCAUCACAGUUUUAACAGACGAGAAAAGAGAAUGCUCCUCACACGUGCAACCACGGUUGGUUUACGGGUUACUUUCGAAUAUUGCAUCAUUAUUGCCAACACUGGUUCAUUUCUCGAAGGCGUUUUGCUAAGAUUGUGAUGGUGUGAUAAUAAAAGCACUAAUAACCUAU